rnacentral:rRNA from 1 species
GUGGGGAAUAUUGCACAAUGGGGGAAACCCUGAUGCAGCAACGCCGCGUGAGUGAUGACGGCCUUCGGGUUGUAAAGCUCUGUCUUCAGGGACGAUAAUGACGGUACCUGAGGAGGAAGCCACGGCUAACUACGUGCCAGCAGCCGCGGUAAUACGUAGGUGGCAAGCGUUGUCCGGAUUUACUGGGCGUAAAGGGAGCGUAGGCGGACUUUUAAGUGGGAUGUGAAAUACCCGGGCUUAACCUGGGUGCUGCAUUCCAAACUGGGAGUCUAGAGUGCAGGAGGGGAAAGUGGAAUUCCUAGUGUAGCGGUGAAAUGCGUAGAGAUUAGGAAGAACACCGGUGGCGAAGGCGACUUUCUGGACUGUAACUGACGCUGAGGCUCGAAAGCGUGGGGAGCGAACAGGAUUAGAAACCCGGGUAGUCC